AGAGUUUGAUCAUGGCUCAGAACGAACGCUGGCGGCAGGCUUAACACAUGCAAGUCGAGCGCCCCGCAAGGGGAGCGGCAGACGGGUGAGUAACGCGUGGGAAUCUACCCAGCCCUACGGAAUAACCCAGGGAAACUUGGACUAAUACCGUAUACGUCCGAUAGGAGAAAGAUUUAUCGGGGUUGGAUGAGCCCGCGUUGGAUAAGCUAGUUGGUGGGGUAAAGGCCUACCAAGGCGACGAUCCAUAGCUGGUCUGAGAGGAUGAUCAGCCACACUGGGACUGAGACACGGCCCAGACUCCUACGGGAGGCAGCAGUGGGGAAUAUUGGACAAUGGGCGCAAGCCUGAUCCAGCCAUGCCGCGUGAGUGAUGAAGGCCCUAGGGUUGUAAAGCUCUUUCACCGGUGAAGAUAAUGACGGUAACCGGAGAAGAAGCCCCGGCUAACUUCGUGCCAGCCGCCGCGGUAAUAC
rnacentral:rRNA from 1 species